UACCAUGGCCAAGUGCUAUUUAAUAAGACUGAACGGGUGUCCGUUGCAAGGGACUCCGAAGAGCUGUGGUAAGGGGUGAAAGGCCAAUCUAACCUGGAGAUAGCUGGUUUUCUGCGAAACCCGUUUUAGCGGGUAGUCCAUUUAUUAACUUAAUUUGUUACUAGACGGUACGGCACUGGAAGCCACGCUAUUUUAUAGCCUAAUUGGGGGGCUGUCAUGGCUCUAUCAAUGGCUUCUAACCCCGGAAAUGUAUAGUAUACAAUAAUGGACAAUCAGACGAUUCGUGAUAAGGCGAUUUGUCAAAAGGGAAACAGCCCAGAACAGGAGUGAAGGUCCCUAACAAACUACUGAGUGAACAUAAGGCAGUCCUUUCCAGUGUCUCUCCACAAAGUGGGCUUGGAAGCAGCCACCUUUUAGCGAUAGCGUAACAGCUCAGUGGUUUAAGUUCCCUAUAAAAAGGGUAAAUACCUGGUGAGGGCGCCAAAAAUGUAACGGGUCUAUAGUAGUUGUCUCUCUAUUUCAAUUCAGAAUAAGGAGGGAGUGGCAGUUAAUACAGGUGCAGAGCUCCUUUACUGCUUCACCGAAACCCUGUCCUAGUUGAAAAUUCUAGGGGUAGCAGAAUAUCCAGCAAAUGGAAGGAAGCUUGCUCAUUGAGUUAGUGGACAUAGCUGGACUAAGAAUGCUGACAUGAGUAGCCUAAAAGGAGGUAAAUUUCCUCUUCGCCGAAAGCAGAAGGGUUUCAUUUGUUAGGUCUAUACCUAUAUGAUUAAAGCAACGGCCUCUAAGACAAUUAAGAAAGGAAACUUUCAUGUGUCGAUGAGUAAUUCUUCUGUAGGGCAGUAACCUUCCUUAUUAAUUUAUCUUGUUUUCAGAGGUAUAUUUCAAAGAGUAAGGUUCAGGAAAGAGCCCUACGGAAAACUCCAAAUUUGGAAACUCUCCAUAUUUUUUUGGGGUUAAUACUAACCGUACCCUAAACCGACUCAGGUCUGCAAGUAGAGUAUACUAAGGCGUAGAGAUAAUCGUCUUGAAGGAACUCGGCAAAAUGACCCCGUAACUUAGGGAGAAGGGGUGCCACUAAUUUGUGGCGGCACAAAACAGGGGGGCGCGACUGUUUACUUAAAACACCGGACUCUGCUAACACUAAGGUGGAUGUAUAGAGUCUGAUACCUGCCCAAUGCUAGAUAAUCAACUAAGCCGUUU
rnacentral:rRNA from 1 species